UAUGUAGGGGGCAAGCGUUGUCCGGAUUUAUUGGGCGUAAAGCGCUCGCAGGUGGUUCGUUGCGUCGUGCGUGAAAGACCCCGGCUCAACUGGGGAGGGUCGUGCGAUACGGGCGGACUGGAGGCCAGUAGGGGGAUGCGGAAUUCCGGGUGUAGUGGUGGAAUGCGUAGAGAUCCGGAGGAACACCAGCGGCGAAGGCGGCAUCCUGGACUGGUCCUGACACUCAGGAGCGAAAGCGUGGGGAGCGAUCCGG
rnacentral:rRNA from 1 species